rnacentral:lncRNA from 1 species
UUUGCUCACAGAAGCUCCUUUUUCAUCGGUGGAAAGGGGCCACAACGUCGGUGUCCCCUUCCAGCACGAGCGCGGGUCAGCCUCCUCGCCGCCUCCCUCCGUCCUUCACACUCUCUCUCCGGUUGUAUUUCUGCCUCCUCCUCCUCUUGCAGCUUCUCCUACCAGUCCUGACAAAAAAGCCAAGCGGCAUGAAGUAAAGAGCGACCCGACUCCCUUUGGUGUGCGAGGUUGGAGCAAAACGUCCCACUCACUGGAGGCACCUGAGGACGACGGGGGCUGGUCAAGUGCAGAGGAGCAGAUUAACUCGUCCGACGCAGAGGAGGACGGCGGGUUGGGCCCCAAGAAGCUGGUAACCACGGCUUCCCUGUGGGCACUUGGGGUGGGGGCUGCCCUCCGGGGAUUAGGGGUGCUUCUGGCAGGUCCACCCAGGCUUGGGUCUUAGGACACAGCCCCAGCUCCUCCUAACCCUGGAAGGUCCACAUGGGCCUGGGUCUUACGGGCAGUGCCAGCUCCUCCUAACUCUCUCUGGAAGGUCCACCCAGACCUGGGUCUUGGGGCACAGCCCCAGCUCCU